GCAAGUCCUUUCAGCAGAAGUGGACUGAAGACUCCAUGUUGGGGGCCUGUGAGGCCAGCCAAGCACACAAUGGCAAGUGCUCCUCGAACGCCUCCCCCAGGGCCUGCGCCUGGCCCACGUCACUAACCAGACCCAAGGGCUCAAGCCAGUCUCCCCCUCCCUGUGGGAGACCACAAUGCACUCAGGCGCAUCUGACGGAGGCAGGAAGAGUCCUGAAGUGAGCAAUGUGAUAGGAAGAGCGGGCAGACGCGUGGUCAGAGCGGAUGGGCCUCCUGAGGACUGGGACAGGCUGCUAACGGGGUCAAGACGACAGCGCAGCCUUUCAGGUUACGGGGUCUCAUAAAGCUGAGGUUGGUGAAGCCCAGCAAGAGGGAAGAGCAUGCACGAAGAAAGAAA